UACGAAGGGGGCUAGCGUUGCUCGGAAUCACUGGGCGUAAAGGGUGCGUAGGCGGGUCUUUAAGUCAGGGGUGAAAUCCUGGAGCUCAACUCCAGAACUGCCUUUGAUACUGAAGAUCUUGAGUUCGGGAGAGGUGAGUGGAACUGCGAGUGUAGAGGUGAAAUUCGUAGAUAUUCGCAAGAACACCAGUGGCGAAGGCGGCUCACUGGCGCGAUACUGACGCUGAGGCACGAAAGCGUGGGGAGCGAACAGG
rnacentral:rRNA from 1 species